CAUUGUAUGUUUCUUUUAUAUAUAACUGAAAUAUGAAAUAGAGAACAAGCUGAACUGUCGACCUGGCUAUGUUGAGGACCCUGCCAAUGGGGGCAGAUACGUUGGCAGUUGACUGUCCUGAAGGACUCACCGCAAGAAGAUUAGUCGGUGUUGAUGACCCUGCCACAGGGAACAUGUGGUCAUAGUCCAGGAUUGACAUGAUAAAAUGAAUAUGUAAAAGAAUCUUUUGAAUUUAAGAAAUAUUUGACUUAUACUUUGGAACUGCAUAUUUAUUUAUUUUCCACAUAUUAUUGCUUGAUUUAUCUAGCUAGGGUGUUCAUUACUUACUGGGCUGUCUAGCUCAUUAUACCCUCUCUUGUUGUUUUACAGAUUUCGAGAACUAGUCUAUUGGGGAUUCAAAUUGGAAGAGCGAUUAGAAGGAUUGUGGCACAAGUUACCUUAGAUUAGGGUUAUUUAAGUUGAUUUGUUAUUAUGGACAUUUAUUAUGAUUGGUGGACUUUUAUAUUUUAAGAACUAGGUUUCUGCAUGUUGGUAAAUGAUUAUUCCGCUGCAUAUUUAGACUUGUGAGACAUUAUGGCUUGAGUUAGU
rnacentral:lncRNA from 1 species